AAAGGUCCGCAACAAAGGUUUUCCGUAGGGUGGAACCCUGCGGAAGGAUCAUUAAAAGAAUUCGGGCUUCGCGGCCAAGUUCUCACCCUUUGUAUACCGAAAACUAUGUUGCUUUGGCAGGCCCCUGCAUUCCUCGGGCCUGCCAGAGGUUAUAAAACCCUGAAUCUCUGCUGUCUGAGUACUAUGCAAUAGUUAAAAA
rnacentral:misc_RNA from 1 species